GAUACUGGAGGAUACUCCGGAGCCUGGGGAGGACUAAGUUUAGGCAAGCUCCCCUCGACUGAGUGCCAGGCCAGCUCAGCUGCUUCCUAGCAAUGCCAAGGAGUCCAAUCCCUGGGCAGAGCCAGAUCCAGCGGGGCUUCUAGGCUCCUUCCCGGCAAAGCUCAUGGGUGCAGGACCAUUAUCCUGGGAGGGAGGAAACCUGCCCAGUGUGCUGCGGCCCCCGUGAAGAACAAGUGCAGGAACCCAAGCGCCGUUCCCAAACACACUGCCCAUCCCUCAAUGACUUUUGCAAUCCCAAAGUAUCAAGCUAUUUCCAUCAGAAAGGGGAUUUUUUUUUUUUUUUUUUUUUUGCUAUCCUGUGAAAAGCUCAUGUGAAAAAAAGGAAGAGCCCUGGUAAAAGCAGGACCGUGUUCAGCCUGUGGCCUCCACCUUUUUUGGAGUCAGAAGAGACUGAAGGAAUCAUAGAAUGGUUCGGGUUGGAAGGGACCUUAAAGAUCACCUAGUUCCCACCCCUCUGCCAUGGGCAGGGACACCUCCCACUAGACCAGGCUGCUCAAAGCCCCAUCCAGCCUGGCCUUGAACACCUCCAGGGAUGGGGCAGCCACAGCUUCUCUGGGCAACCUGGGCCAGUGUCUCACCACCCUCACAGUAAAGAAUUUCUUCCUGAUAUCCAAUCUAAAUCUCCCCUCUUCCAGCUUAAAGCCACUACCCCUUGUCCUGUCACUAUGCUCCCUGAUCAAGAGUCCCUCCCCAUCUCUCCUGGAGCCCCUUUAGGUACUGGAAGGGGCUCUGAGGUCUUCCUGGAGCCUUCUCUUCUCCAGGUUGAACAACCCCAACUCUCUCAGCCUGUCCUCACAGCAGAGGGGCUCCAGCCCUCUGAGCAUCUUCGUGGCCCUGAAAGCUGAGCCCAGUUCGUAAUGAGGACAUGCUGCGUUCAGCCCACUCCUGGUCCUUGCAGCAAGAGCUGUAUGUCCACCUUCCCUCCUGCAGCAAGUGCCUUGACCCGCAGGGUGUAAAGCAGGUCCAGGGAGAGGGGGAAAGAUGAAGGGACAACAAAUUCCAGCAGGGGAAACCCCACCUUUCAGCAGUGUCUGUUUCACAGUGUAGAGAUUGAGGGAAACACUUAUGUGCAACUGACCAACUGACAAAGCUGAAGGGGUAGAAAUGUCAACCAAAUGCAAUGUAGAAGUUGGCCUUGCUUUGGGGGGAGUGCUCACUCAGGUGACUCGCAGGGCUUUCUUCCAACGUAGACUACUCUACAUCUCUAAAGCCAGGCUUGCUUCCCUUCCUGGCUCCAAAUCUCUUGGAUUUCUGACGCUUCCACCCCAGGUGCAGCAAAGAGACCCAUGCAAUGUUCUGAGGAAUUCAAGGAACUGCUGGCACAGCCAACCUUUGGAGCAAGAAACCUCUGCAAACGCUGGACCAAAGCAGAUGCUGAAAAGAAGCAAGGGGCCAAUUUCCAGUCUAUCUCUGCUUCAGCACUGCUCAAGCAACAGAAACAAAAAUUGCUGGAGGCCAGAAAGAAGCGACCUGAAGAGAUUCAGCGGAGGUAAUACACACUGACUUUCACGGGAAGGGUUCUGCUGUUGUGGCCCUAAGUAUAAAUGUGGAGGUGUUUUGCUGAUAAGGACAGUGUACAUUGAAUAGAUAAUUUCUAAGCAUGUCCUAAUUUGAGAGGAACACAAGGCCUUUGCAACCUCUGUUUGCAGCUCCCCGUUUUUACGCUAGCUUCACUUUCCCUUCUCUCCCUGCUCCAGGGUUUCCUCUCCAGGCUUUUUCUUUCCCAACAGGGCAGGGAGGACAGGAGCCAUCUCUCUGUUUAACUUAGCAAACCUCCCGUGCCAGCACAGAUGCGGUGCGUGACUCAGCGUGCCAGGGCUGGGUUCCGCACGCUUGUUGGCUGUGUCCUCGCAGCCCUCAAGGCAGCUGGUGGCAGCUGCCAACGAGCAGAGUACAGGAAAGGGCGCAUGUAGAAGCAUGCUUGAACUUUCCCCCGCUACUUCCCAGCCUCUAGCAACAAGCCCCUCCUGUUCCCAAACCUUCCUGUUCCUUCACUCUUGCCCCUCACCCAGCCAGGGUGGUGAGACUCACAGCUUCUUGAGAGGCCCCAGGGCAUGCACAGGUGCCAGCAAUGCGCAGGGCAGGUGGAGAAGAGCAAACGGCACCCAGGGACUGUCACCCUGAUGCUGCCCAUGCUGCGGUUGAGCUCCACCCCGAGCGCUGUGCAGACCUUGUAAGUGCUGGGGAGUGAGCUGGGCUCUUGGUGAUGUCUCCUCAUCGUCAAAGUCAUCACGGAAAAGCCAAACCCAACUGCUCAGCUGGACGCUGUCCUACGGCACUUAUCCCCACGUGUGGGUGCAGCCCCUGCUCCGGUAUCCUUUCUGGUCUGGGGCUGGGGUGGAAAGGGAGGAGGGGGGUGAGUGGAAAGCAACAGUGGUCUCCACAUCAGCUGUGUCGUGCCCUGGAUAGAGCGAGGCAUGGUCUUCUUCCAGAGCCUGAAGUGGGGCACAGAGGAUCCUGGAGAUGUUUCUUGGAUGCUUGACGUAAGAAAGCAAAGAGUGCUGAACUUGGCACCCCCAGCCUCCUUUCUCACCAUCUGAAAAGUAUCAAUGGAGAAAAAGCCACAUCCACAGUUGCCUUGGCAGGAGCUUUGCUCUUACCCCUGUGAAUUCAUCUGCAGCCCUGGACUGAGCCGGGAGGAAAAGCAGCCUUUGAACGUGGUGUUUUGCCUCAAACUGCAAGCGCACGAGGCAGCUCACCUCUGCGUUAUUUGGGUUUGACGUCUUUCUUUUUCUUGGGUGGCUGGGGUGAGGAGGUUGUGUGGAGAACUCUGGAUUUCCUGGCUCCUUUACAGGUUUGCGUUGAAGGAGUUUCUCCUGAAGGGUGCAGGAACCAGAGGGAGAGAGAUGGAUUUUGAAAACUGAAAAUGGUUUGUUAGAACAAAGGAUUUUUAUUUUUAUUUUUUAAAUAUGACAAUGAUGUUCCCCAGCGUCCUGCAAACAACAAAUUGAGUUAGUUGAAUCUUGAACUUUUCUGUACCAGUGUCUCCACAAGCGUUUGCUUGCUUCUGCACGUACCCAGGUAUUGUAUUGACUGUGCAGUUGACUAAUAUACUAAUAUGCCUGUGAAUACGUUAUUCCCACCAGGGGGUGUGUGAAGGGAAAUGUUUAAAGACUCCGUGUCACCCCCAAAAUGGGCUGCUGGAGGUGGCAGCUCCUUCCCAGCCUGUGUGCCUCUUGUUUUCAGUUGUCCAAGCAACUCAAACUUGUCCUUUGAGUGUUGCAAGGUGGCAAGAGCAAAACCAGCGAGAGGAAGAGCUGCUGUAAAGCCUGGGAGGAAGGUGUUCAACAAGAGUCCAGCUCUCGGUGGACUUGUCUGCUGUCCCCUACUUCUGGGACAACCUAACAACCAACCAUCAACCUAACACUGACAAAACCCAUCACUAAACCAUGUCCCUCAGCACUACACCUACCCAUCUUUAAAAUACCUCCAGGGACGCUGACUCCACCACUUCCCUGGGCAGCCUGUUCCAAUGCUUGAUAACGCUUUCGGUGAAGAACUUUGUCCUAAUAUCCCUCCUAGACCUCCCCUGGUGCAACUUGGGGUGGUUUCCCCUUGUCCUGCCACCUGUUACUUGGGAGAAGAGAUCGACCCCCACCUCACUACCCCCUCCUUUCAGGGAGUUGUAGAGAGCGAGAAGCUCUCCCCUCAGCCGCCUCUUCUCCAGGCUGAACAACCCCAGCUCCCUCAGAUGCUUGUUCUGGCUGUUCUAAGAUUUGUUCUCUAGACCCCUCUCCUGGUGUUUAGCUGCUAAAUGCCAUCAAAGUCUUCUUAAUUAAGAACUGAUUACAAAACAAGUGGGUUGAUGCGACUCUCUGGGUGCAGAGUGAGAACCCUGACUGCCCACGCAGUCUGCUCUGACCCUGACUUCUCUCCUUGCCGCCCUGGUUGCUUGUGAGCUGAGCUCAAGGAGGUGAAGUAUUGCUUUAGGUCGCGUGGGUCCAUGAUCUGGGAUGCACGAGCUUUUUUUUCCACCAGCUGAUGGAAAACAGUAAUCGAUCUGGUAGUGAGUGGUGCCCAGUAAUUUUUUACAUCAGUAAUCAAUGUGGUGAUGAGUGAUGUCCAAUUUCCUCAGGCAGAGCAUAAGCUGUCACUUCGCCAGCUCAGAGUGCUACUACAUUGAGGUCAAGAACACGAGCCAAGUGCACUUGGAGAAAGAAGUGAUUGACUUUGGACAUGCCAAAUAUAAAGUGACUUCUGCCUCAGACCUUGCGGUAAUCUUAAAUCAUGACCUUACCUUGUAACUAGCAAGAAUUGUUGGCCUUUUAGCUGGUGUCUUCUUGCUGCCUGGUUGCCUCUGCUGGAGAAGUGCUCUUGCUCUCCAGGCAGCCCCUUCACGCCUCUGGGAAGCAGCGGAGGAGCUCUGCAAGCUCCUCCUCCAGCUCUGCUCAUCGCCAUUCCCAACUCUGAGCUGCCAAAAUUGAUUUAACCCACGCGCCUUGGUAUUUUUCAGUGCAAAUCAGCCCAGCUAGGGCAAAGUGAAGCCAGCAGCUGGUUAGGUGACCCUAACUGAAUACGCAGGACUAGGAGGGGACAGCUUAUUCAGUACCCAGCUGUGGUGUCUUCUCUGCAAACAUCAUCAAUCCAAGGAGCCUUUUGGCUUAUUUCAAGUGCGGCUGUGUGCAGUGGGAUUUGCAGCUUUUAGUUUCAUUUCGUGUUGUCUGCACUUUUCUACUGGAGACUUUGAAAAGACAAUGAAUAAGUCAGUGGGUAUUUUUACGAAUACGUGGCCAAGCAGAUACGCUCGCGCCAGGAAUAAGCAGGAAACACGGUACCCAAAGAUGGUGGCUUCUAAGUAGGUUUUAUUUGUUUGGUUGGUUUUGUUUUUUCGUUGUUGUGUUUCUCUCUUUUUUUAAUGCAGGGUGUUUGGAAGAAGUGAGCAAAGGUUGUGCGAGGAAAAAGAAUUUAUCUUUAAAGUGGCCUCUAAAGACCAGGAGGGAAAACGUGUGCCUGAGCAUCAGCUUCUGAGUAGCCAGAUUCACGGGCUUUUGGCCCUCUCUGCUGGAAGCUUACCCAAAUCCUGCAUUAUAACAUCAUUUUAGGCUGAUACAAAAUCGUUGCGCUGAGGUUGAACAGCUGGUGCACUUCAAAGCAAACCUGACCUAUAAAACCAGAUCUGCUGCAGUUAGUUUAGGUAAUCAAAGACAGGUGAUGAUGGGAGAUGUGCUUCACUUCUUGAUUAGCUUCUUCUAACCUCUCUCUUGAUAUACGUCUGGGUGAUGCUCUAUUAAUGUAAGGGUAUUGAUAAUCUUAAUAGAAUUAGAAUAAUUGUUAUGGUUAGAUGACAUUAGUAUUAUUAAUAUAAGAUUCUAUGCAUUAUUAUGUUUUAAAGGUUUCCGACAUCCUUUUUUUCACGCAAGGUUCAGUAUGCGCUCACAUGGGAAGGCAUUAGCACAGCUGAUGAAGGUGUGGAGUGGCUUUUAUUUUUUUUUUUCCAAAAUAAAGAUUAAA